CAGUCGCCGCGGUAAAACGGAGGGUGCAAGCGUUAAUCGGAAUUACUGGGCGUAAAGCGCACGCAGGCGGUCUGUCAAGUCAGAUGUGAAAUCCCCGGGCUUAACCUGGGAACUGCAUUUGAAACUGGCAGGCUAGAGUCUUGUAGAGGGGGGUAGAAUUCCAGGUGUAGCGGUGAAAUGCGUAGAGAUCUGGAGGAAUACCGGUGGCGAAGGCGGCCCCCUGGACAAAGACUGACGCUCAGGUGCGAAAGCGUGGGGAGCAAACAGGAUUAGAUACCCCGGUAGUCCCUGUCUCUUAUAC
rnacentral:rRNA from 1 species